CACACCGUAAACGAUGUGUGCUAGUUGUCAGGCAGCUUUGCUGUUUGGUGACGGAGCUAACGUUUUAAGCACACCGCCUGGGAAGUACGGCCGCAAGGUUAAAACUCAAAGGAAUUGACGGGGACCCGCACAAGCAGUGGAACAUGUCCUUUAAUUCGUAGCAACGCGAAGAACCUUACCUACCCUUGACAUACCAGUUGUGAUUUCCAGAGAUGGAUUUCUUCAUUUAGUUGGGCUGGAUACAGGUGC
rnacentral:rRNA from 1 species